GACGAACGCUGGCGGCGUGCCUAACACAUGCAAGUCGAGCGAUCUUCUUCGGAAGAGAGCGGCGGACGGGUGAGUAACGCGUGGGUAACCUGCCCUGUACACACGGAUAACAUACCGAAAGGUAUGCUAAUACGGGAUAACAUACUUUUAUCGCAUGGUAAAANUAUCAAAGCUCCGGCGGUACAGGAUGGACCCGCGUCUGAUUAGCUAGUUGGUAAGGUAACGGCUUACCAAGGCGACGAUCAGUAGCCGACCUGAGAGGGUGAUCGGCCACAUUGGAACUGAGACACGGUCCAAACUCCUACGGGAGGCAGCAGUGGGGAAUAUUGCACAAUGGGCGAAAGCCUGAUGCAGCAACGCCGCGUGAGCGAUGAAGGCCUUCGGGUCGUAAAGCUCUGUCCUCAAGGAAGAUAAUGACGGUACUUGAGGAGGAAGCCCCGGCUAACUACGUGCCAGCAGCCGCGGUAAUACGUAGGGGGCUAGCGUUAUCCGGAAUUACUGGGCGUAAAGGGU
rnacentral:rRNA from 1 species